rnacentral:lncRNA from 1 species
UUGAAAUUCACAACUGCACUUUUAUUAAUAGCACAACUCAUAGUAUAUUUACGAUACUAUUUAUAGCAAACAAGUCUCACACCUAUCUAUACUAAGACAGGGAUCACAAAAGGGAUGGGAUCUCAAUCCACAUCCGGGUUAUACUCAAGAUCUCUCUCUGGAUUAUCUUCUUCUUUAAAUGUCUUUCUCCUCUUCAGGUUCCUCUUCCUCAGCUUCUCCUCAAGGUCCUGAAAUGGUUAUUCAAUAACUAAUGAGACCACGUCUCAGCAAGUUCUACCCCAUAAGACUCGAUUAGUAAACCAAUACACCUUAGACUACCUAAGCACAUCACGAGUCAGAGGACUUACCUUGGCCUCAGCUCCUUCCUGCAAGUUAGUAUAUAUAUAUAUCAAAUAUACAUCAUCACAUCACAUCACAUCACCCAAUCAGAUCGAAUCAUCAAUCAAUCGACUUAGUCGAUUAUAUGUCAUUCAAAUUAUCUCUUGAUUGACUCCUUCCAUACUUUCUAUAAGUCUGAUCAACAUCCAAGACUACUCACCCUAAGGAAUAUAUAGAUAGUAUGCUAUCUUAUCUCCAGACGACAUAUAGAGUCAUUGAGCUAUCAAAUCAUACCGUACUGUCUCUAGAUGCUCCAUAGAGUUAUCGAGCCGGUAGAUCAUACCGUCCUGUCUCAAGAUGCUCUGUGGAGUCAUCGAGCCGGUAUACACACAAUUUAUAAUACCGUACUAUCUCCAGAUGCUCCGUAGAGUCAUCGAGCCGGUAGAUCAUACCGUCCUGUCUCAAGAUGCUCCGUGGAGUCAUCGAGCCGGUAUACACACAAUUUAUCAUACCGUACUGUCUCCAGAUGCUCCGUAGAGUCAUCGAGCCGGUAUACACACAAUUUAUCAUACCGUACUGUCUCCAGAUGCUCCGUAGAGUCAUCGAGCCGGUAUACAUGUCAUUCCAAGCAAACAAUCAAAUAACCAGUUUUAUCCUUUCCGAUAAAAUGACGUGUGGGUACACGAUCGGCUCUAACCAAAAUAUAAUAAUUUCCUUUUUAUAAAUCCCAACAUUUUUUGUAGUCCACUAAAACAGUUUUGGUAUCAUUAACUGAUGCCCGGUUAAUUUCCAAUUAAUUUUCCAAGAUUAUUUAAAUUAGGGAAUAAAUCCUAAUUUCACAAAUAAAUCAUUUCCGCACAAAAUAAAGCUCAAUUAAAUAAACGGACUAGACCACGACAAUCAGUAUAAAAGUUCGGUCACUGGCCAUCCCGGUUGAAUUUCCGAAAAAAUAAAUAAAUUCGAAUAAAUAAAUAAAUACUAAAAAUCCAAUUUAGGCCCAUAUUGCCUUAUUGGACGCCAGAACGGAUCGAGAAAAAUCCCGAGAUACAUUCAAUAAAUAUUAAAAGCUCUCUACUUGCUAAUGACUAAGUCUAACUACCUAACAUGCAUCAUUAAGUCACUAAUUUAAUUGUUCUAGACUGAUCUAACCACCUAAUUGCACUUAAUUAAAUCUAACUAAUCCCUAAGCAUAAUUAGCAAACUAAGAAAGCAUUAGUGAGUAAAACUCACUUGGUAAAAGCGGAGACCAGGACACCACAACGGCGACGCGACGGCAGCCGAAAUCCAAAUUUUCGGCGGCGUUGGUAGACACUCGGGCCGGGCUAAAAAGCCUCACAAGCCCACAGAAAAUUCUGGGCUUGGACUGAACUUGGGCCUGAGUUGGGUGACUUGCUUCGCGGGCUUGGGCUUCAAGAUUGUGCUGCUGAAUUGGGCCUCAAAUUACUGGGCUGAUCUUGCUUUAAAGAAACUGUUGGGCUGAUUUCUUGUGGGCCUGACUUUGUUUGGGCUUCAAAUGGCGUGGGCUCAAUGAAGCUGCUGGGCUGAAGACAGGUUGGAUUGAAGCUGCAAUGAAGACGCGCGGGCCGAAGACUGCAAGAAAUCGAAGCGGCGAAGAUCAAGAAGCAGCUGCUGACGCGCUUCGGUGGACGUUGCUGACCUUCGUGGCAGCGGCUCCUGGCGUCUCCGAGUCAACUUCAAGGGGAAUUUACUGAUUUUGUUGACUUGGCCAAACAACCGAGAGUGGAUCAGCUUCAGUUGACUUGCUUCGAUGAAGCUAGAUACGGAGGAGUCAACGUGGCUGAGGGAACUCGCUUGCUGGUUGACUCGGCAGGAAACAAAGCUUAGUGGAGGAUGGGCGUGGGCUGCAGAGAAGCGAAGCGGUGGAGCUGCAGGUGAUGGCUUCGGUCAACAGAACAUGGAGUCAGUCUCGAUGGAAGACUUCGCGCGGAUGGAGGAACACGCGGACGCUGUUGCUGCUGGGGAAUCUUCGAUCGUUGCUGGACACGCACAACCCCGAAAGAAAAAGAAGGGCAGCUGGCGUUGGGCUUCGUGGGCGUGGAGAUGCAGAGGAGUCAACUUUACUGGGGUUUUCUUUUCUUUGAUUGACCAAGGAAGCUAGGUAAUGGGACGUGUGGCAAGAAGGGAGUUCGGUGAAGAUGGGAUCGCACGAAAAUAAAACUACUGGACUGCUCGGUGGAAAGAAAUAAAAUGAUGGUGUUGAGUGCAUGAAAAAGGAAAGAAGAAGCAAGUGUGCGAAGGAGGACGAGUCGUGCACGAAGAGAUGAAGACCGGCAGAGCUUGUCCAACAAGCUGGAUGAGAGAG